CAUUGGGAAAUGUUGAGUCUUGUUUAUUCGCUGGGUCACAUGUAGUUUUAAAUGACAAACCGUCUUUUAAGGGCACAAUGGCAAGUUCAAACAGGGCAUGCCAAAUUGGCCGUGUAGGUAGUCAAUUUUAGAAGGGGCAUUAUGGCCACACUCCAGGGCAUCCACGGUUCUGGCCAUUUGGGUGUGGUAUAAUUCCUGCCCCAUAUUCAGAAACUUCACAAAAGUAAUUGGUGCUGUCCUAGAAAAUGGAAAUCGCUGGACCCUUUUUGUGGGUAGUCUGUCCUUUGCAAAAUUGUGAGAAAACCUUGGUCUGUAUUUUCCACCACAGCACUUGUAACCGGUGUUGUGAAUAGUCAACCAUAUCCAUACCUAAAUCUGACCUCAAAUGUAUAGUAAUUAUCUUUAUACUUACCUGCUAUGCCUAUUUUAAGAAGAAAAAGAUGAUUUGUCCAAAAAGUCAUUCUAAAACAUCAUUAAAUUUGUCUUAAAAAUGUCUGGUUUAAUUAUCUAAUAGCUGAUUAAUUAUGCAAUACUAACUGUUCUUUCUUGUUAGUUAGCAGCAUAUCAAAUAGACAACUUGUACAUGGGCUCAUUGGGAGAGACUGAAAAAAGGAAGACAUAAAUCAUGAAGAACUGAAGCUCUUGUCUUUGCCUCAGCAAAGGUAAGCACCCUGACAUGGACAUGGUGUGAUGUACCAAAUCCUUGUCAGCAGGACAUACACUUGUGGGGCAUCAAUGUGCUAAUGUUUGCUUAGGCUCUGCUUGAAGGGAACACUUCUGUUGCGGAUUACGAACAGGAUAGCCCCACACUGAGAUUGCACCAAGAGGUGCACUGUAUGCUGGGCCAUUUUAGGAAAAGACAAGGUUCAGUGUCAGGGAUGCGGUGGCCAAUGCCAUCUAAGAUGCUGGCAAACAACUUGUGCCAUCUGUCUACUUUGGAAAAAGGAAACUGAAGUGAUAAGAGCAAGCACAGCAAGGAAUGACACUGUGGAGAUGCAAGAAGACAGAGGACAGAGUGAACCAAAAGAUAUGAAAGACCAGUCAAAUGACAAGGAACAAAAGACAAGUCAGAAACAGGGCAAGCAAGACCCAAAAGAGAAAGAAAAAAAAUGAGGUGAAAAUAUAUGAGAAAGAAAAGAGGAAGGAAGAAAUAAUAUAUAUAGAUAUAUGAAUCUUUAUAAAAUAUAAAUGAUAAAAUAUAGGAGAAAUGCAGGAGAACUCUCCCUGAAAUUGUGCUGAAUCUACCAAAAAAGGCCAGAACAAAGGUCAGCAUUUUCAGCGCACUCACUGUGGAGGAGGCUUCUGACUUAGCCAGCGGUCUAAAUGAAAGUCAGACACAGUUGAACCAGAGUUGGUACGUAAACACAUCAGUGAUGAAAAUGCAGAUGUUACAAGGCAAGUUUUAUAAAUGUAAUGUUACCUUUUUGCUACAUGAUCUGACAUCACAGGCUCUGAAACUGCAACCACCACCACCCCUCUUGCCACCUACUUUUUUAAUUUCGGAAAAAUGCUGAGUAUUACGAGCAUGCAUUCUAAAUCUGACUUCAGCUUGCUGACCCACACCUUUGGCCCCGAGGCAGUUGAUGGGGUUCUAGGAUUUCUGAUCGAGAGUAAAAGAAAGAAAGAAAUAUUACAAAAUACAAAAAAAGAUACUUUCCCACUUACCCUAUCUGUCAAUCCAGAGAGUUUCUGUGUGGUUUGGUGAGGCUUCCAGUCACUCUGCCUUCACCCGAAUAUAAUGGAACUGGAUAUUGUUUUGUUAAUCUAAAACUGAAAAAUUACAUGAGGAAAAACUCAACAGCUCUUUCCAAAACCAAUGUCAUGGAUACUCACUAUGAUCCACAGGAUGAAGAGUUUCAUUGGAGACAACGAACAAACUAUCUAUCUGCAUGUGUUUCUGAAUGCCGAAGUUUGUACAUCUCUGAAUUGCAGUGUGUACUGCAUCAUCAUAUAAACUUCUGUUCUGUUAAAAUUAUUAAGAUGUUCUCUUAAAAUUUUUA